ACACCUACGGGUGGCAGCAGUGGGGAAUUUUCCGCAAUGGGCGAAAGCCUGACGGAGCAAUACCGCGUGAGGGAUGACGGCCUAUGGGUUGUAAACCUCUUUUUUCAGGGAGGAAUCAAUGACGUGUACCUGAAGAAUAAGCAUCGGCUAACUCCGUGCCAGCAGCCGCGGUAAGACGGAGGAUGCAAGUGUUAUCCGGAAUCACUGGGCGUAAGGCGUCUGUAGGUGGUUUAAUAAGUCAACUGUUAAAUCUUGAGGCUCAACUUCAAAAUGGCAGUCGAAACUAUUAGACUAGAGUAUAGUAGGGGUAAAGGGAAUUUCCAGUGGAGCGGUGAAAUGCGUAGAGAUUGGAAAGAACACCAAUGGCGAAAGCACUUUACUGGGCUAUUACUGACACUGAGAGACGAAAGCUAGGGUAGCAAAUGGGAUUAGAUACCCCAGUAGUCCUAGCCGUAAACGAUGGAUACUAUAUGUUGAACAGAUCGACCUGUGCAGUAUCAAAGCUAACGCGUUAAGUAUCCCGCCUGGG
rnacentral:rRNA from 1 species